CGGGUUCAGCGCGCUCACACACACGCGCGCGCGCGCGACGGGGAAGGGCUCUGUUAUGGUUGCGCAUGCGCUGGAUCCUGGGUGGUUGUUGGGCUUCAGCAGGUUGGGGCCGCUAACGGGAAAACAAGAAGCGUUGGGCAAGGAAUUUUGUACCUGGCGAAGUUGGAGGACACCCCCACACACACACUGCCCUGGAAGAAACAGUCUGUUUCCCUGUCUCUCUGUAUCUGUGUUUUGUGGACGCAGCCUCCGACAAGAUUGCAAAAAUGCAGUUGAUGCCUCUCUGGGGGCUCUGUAUUCCUUCUGGACAGCACCAACUUGGCCUUGCUUAAUUACAUAUUUGUCUCCCCCCUUUUUUGUUAUUGUUGUUAGAUUGGGCAUAUUUUAAGAGUUAGGCUGUGGAUCUUUGUCUUGGAGGCAUCAUUGACCAAAGGAAAUGGAGGAAAAAGAGCGAUGUGAUUCAUUCUAUUUGACACUCUGAUGUUAAGGCCAUAUAAAACAUUUUUCAAGGGGAGGCCGAGAAAAAGAUGCAAAUAUACUAAGGACGGUUGCUUGCAGGCUAAAGGAGGUGGGAGGGUGGGAGAAAAAUGAUUAAAAUCUUUAAGUUAUUUCUGCAGCCAUCCAGUGAAGACAACUAUUAAAGUAACAGCAGGUGUUCCACUUGUGUGGGCUGGAGUUGUCUAGAAACGAAAGGCUGCUUGCUCUGCUUUUUGUGUGGUGGGGAGAAACUUCAUAAACUUUGUCAUCUCCUAUCUUCACGUCCUACACUACAAAAAAAAAAUGAGUUGUGUGCCAUGGAAAGGUGACAAAAUAAAAUCGGAAUCAUCUGAAACACCACAGCCGAUGCCAGUGCGUAUUUAUCAUGAAAAACAGCGCAGGGAGUUAUGUGCUCUCCAUGCCCUCAAUAAUGUCUUCCAGGACGGCAAUGCCUUUACGCGAGACACAUUACAGGAGAUUUUCCAAAGGUUGUCUCCCAACACCAUGGUGACACCCCACAAGAAAAGCAUGCUGGGAAACGGGAACUAUGAUGUGAACGUCAUCAUGGCGGCUCUUCAGACCAAAGGUUAUGAAGCAGUUUGGUGGGAUAAGCGCAGGGAUGUCAGUGUAAUUGCCCUCUCCAAUGUGAUGGGCUUCAUUAUGAAUCUGCCAUCAAGCCUCUGCUGGGGUCCAUUGAAACUUCCUCUUAAACGGCAACAUUGGAUCUGUGUCCGGGAAGUGGGAGGUAUCUACUAUAACCUUGACUCUAAACUCAAGGUGCCUGAAUCCAUUGGAGGUGAAAGUGAGCUCAGGAAGUUUUUGAGACACCAGCUGCGAGGAAAGAAACUGUGAACUCUUCUAGUGGUGCCUGAAGAGGUGGAAGCACAUCAGAGUUGGAAAGCUGAUGCAUGACCUGCAACUACCCUGUCCUUGCACUACAGUACUUGUCUUUCUCCCUCCACCAAUUUCUAAUGUCCUGUGAUGUGGAUAAUGAGCACUCUUCUCUUCCCUGGAACUUUGGCAUUCCCCCCCCCCCCAUUAUGAGGCCAUAAGGCAACCACAAGGUAUUGUCGGAGCCAACAUGAAGAACAGAAGCUGGACAUGUAGUAGGGGAAGAGAAGGAGGUGGACGUAACGCAACCAGAUCUGUGCUCUUUAAUUAUAAUGCAUAGUUUGAUUUAGAAAUGGGUGUUGGAAUUCUCCCCUUUAAUUUCCUGCUUUCCCUCCCCCCGCCCCAGUCUUAAAAGGACUUCAUAUUGUGUUACACACAACUGUCUCCAGGAGUUCCUAUAGCUCCUGUUUGGCUAGUGUGUGUCUCCUUCAGGGUAGGGCUGGGGCCAGGCAUAUUCUCCCCCCCCCCCAAAGCCAUGCCUGCCUCCCUCCAACCCUCAUUGUGGAACUCCCUACAGGAGUUUUGGGCUUUUCCUGCCUCCAUACUCUUCAUUGUGUGUCCUUUGUCUCCAACACCAAACUUAUGUUGAAGAAAUUUGCAAACCAUUUGGGUCUCUCAGGAAACUCUAGAUCCUCUUAGCAAAGGUAUGGUGCUUGUGGAUUCCCCUUUUGUAAUAGUAAUUGUGCCAAGAGUUAGGGGAGACGUAGACAAAAUGGGACCAUAAUAAUGGAACUCCUUACAGGAGUUUUCCUGUCUCAUACUCUUUUUAAGUGUGGUCUGAAAAUGAAAGACUGAAUAGUUUGGAAAAGUGGUAGCUAAAUUGAUGCUUAUUUAAAAGCCUCAAGUAUUUUUGUUAGGUGGUCCACAUGUAGCCUGUGUUUAUUUUUCUUAUCUGUCUGUCCUGUAAUUCAGGGAAAUAUUCACUGAGCAGGGAAUAAAACUACAGGCUGUUUGAGGAUGAAAUCAUGAAACAAAAGGGAAGAGUAGCCAAGUUUCAGCAAGGGAAAAAGUGGUGUUGAUUCAGCAGCUCAGGAAAAGGGAACAUGUGAUCACCCCACCCCUCUGGACCAGUUAUGGCUAGCAGAGGAAAGGAACCAGCCCAUUCCCAUUGCUUGGGAAUGGAGAGCCCUUAAUUGUUUUCCUGCUGUUUGGUUUUGUUAUAGCCUUGUCUUGGGUUUGUUUACAGAGAUGUAUUUGUUUAACCAAAUAUUAAAAAUGAAAAA